UUAGGAUCCUGUGAAGAAAAUUCCCGACUCACAUGAAAUUACUCUCCACCAUGGCACAAAAACAGUCUCUGCUUUAGGAUUGGAUCCAUCGGGUGCUCGUUUGAUAACUGGAGGAUAUGAUUAUGAUGUUAAAUUUUGGGAUUUUGCUGGAAUGGAUGCAUCUCUUCAGGCUUUUAGAUCUCUGCAACCAUGUGAAUGUCACCAGAUAAAGUCUUUGCAGUACAGCAGCACCGGAGAUGUCAUUCUUGUUGUUGCGGGUAAUUCUCAAGCUAAGGUCCUUGACAGAGAUGGCUUUCCUGUAAUGGAGUGUGUGAAGGGGGACCAGUAUAUUGUAGACAUGGCAAACACUAAGGUAAGAAGAUAAA